rnacentral:rRNA from 1 species
GACCUGGCCGGGCGGUCCGCCUAACGGUGUGUACUGUCUGGCUGGGUCUUACUUCCUGGUGAGACGGCAUGCCCUUCGCUGGGUGUGUCGUGGAACCAGGACCUUUACCUUGAGAAAAUUAGAGUGUUCAAAGCAGGCCUAUGCCCGAAUACAUUAGCAUGGAAUAAUAAAAUAGGACGUGCGGUUCUAUUUUGUUGGUUUCUAGAGUCGCCGUA